ACACCCCAUCCUGCAUCUGUAACAGACAUUGCUAAUUAUCCUAUAGGCUCUUCCUCUCAGCCAAUCCGGAAUGUUUCUCAAGAUAAAACUCGUCAAAUAACAGUGAAUCAAAUAAAACUGAUACAGCUUCAAUCUUUUAGCUCCUUUAACGAUGGAAAUAUGAGGUCUGUGGGGAAAGAUCAUUUCUGGCCCACUUCAAAAUCUCCCAGAGCCUACCGGGCACAGCUGAAACCGACCUAUACUGGCUCACAGUUGCACAGGAAGGAGUCCAAAAGGGUCAGACUCCAGAAUCAGGUGUUCUUGAUUUUUAAAAAUGACACAGGAGAUUGAACUGAGCUCCAUACUCAUCCCUCUUUUGUUUUUAUUUUAGUACAAGGUUUUGCUAAGUUGCGAAGUUGUUCAGGCUGGGCUUAAACUUGCAUUCCUUGUGCCUCAGGCCCCCCAAAAUGCCAUCAUUACAGGAUGCACCACUGUGCCAGGCUUGUCCAUUUCUGAGAGGGCGCCACUGUGAGAGUGCUAUGGGCUUUCCUCACGUACAUCCCAGGACCCACACCCUGCACACCACCUAUUUUAAAAGGUGGCUUUAAUCAUGAGUGACUCCCCAAAAGUGUGUUGACCAGUUCUUCUUUCAUCUGAGAUCAUCAAAAACUGAAGGGCAGAGGAAAUUUGGAAUAGACCUCUGUGGAGGUGGCAUCUGUGUGCCAGCCUCUGGGCUGGGCCCCUGGCAUUGCACUUAGUCUCCUAGCAACUCCGUAAGAAGUGUAUGGUUCUUGUUUUACAGCUGAGGAAACACAUGCUGAAGGAGGAAAUGCCGUACUCAAACCCAUCAGGUCACAGGAGACUGGAGCAGAUUCUGUCCUGGCCACAGGAAGGACUGUCCUCUGCAAUGCCUCUCUGCCAUGGCACCCUGCCUUGGAGCCAGCCGACAAUGGACUGAAACCUCUGUAACUGAAGCCAAAUAAAUGUUUCUUCCUUUAACUUUGGGUAUAGGGUAUUUUGUCUCAGCAACAAGAAAAAAGUAAUAGAGACAGUGACCUAACAACAAGAUCCAGCACCUAAACAAGGAGCAUGAUAGCUGUUCAUUCAGGCCACAAUAGGAUAGGAUAACUGUACAAAAUCAGGUCGAUGGCCAAGUUUUUCCUACAGCUUUUUGAGCAGCAGGAUUGAUAUGGUUCUGACAAGACAAGUUUCAGUUUUAAGUACA